rnacentral:lncRNA from 1 species
CUGAGGGGGCCUACCACCCUGAGAUGGUGGUCUAGCAUCUGCCUUUUGCUUGAGGAUUUUCUCCUCAAGNUUCCUAUACCCACCACGAGAUAAUAGGUGGGGGUUUUUGUUAUGAGCACUUGUUCCUUGUGCUUUGCUUCUGAUUGCCUGUCACAUAUGUUUAAUUAAUUAGUUCAUAUGAUAUAUAUUUGUUAAUGAGGAAUUGAAUAAUAUCAACUAUACUAACCUUUCAUUCCUCUGACG